GCAUUAAUGGGGUAGUGGUAACCUGGGUCGUUGCCAUAGCCAACGUCGCUCGACCCGCCGGGGGUUCGAUUCCCUCUUAAUGCA